AGGCCGCGCGGGACACGCUUCCCUGGACACAGCCGCUUAUGAUUCGCUUAAGACGGGGAGGCGUGAACAGACCGCUGGAAGGGAAGAAAUGUUAACUCCUGAGUAGGGACGAUCACUAAGGGAGAUGAGUCAAGUCAGUGAGCCUUUCUUAUCCAAGUCAGCACUCCUCCCUUCUCUCUCUGCUUCCUGGCUACCAUGAGGCAAGCAGCCUUUCCAUACCAGGCUCUUCCACCAUGAUGUUCCUGCUUUGGAGCCAGCUGACCAUGGACUGAACCCUCUGAAACUGAGAGGGCGCGGUGUCCCUUCACUCCGGAGGAAGCAGAGCCCGGACAAAGGCCCCGCCGGCACCUUUGCGGAGGACCUCACAGCCCCGUGGAGUGGGUUUCUGUUCUUCAUCAAUCACGCAGUCCAGGCAUCUGGAAAGCGGCGCCAGUGAACAGACACGAGCCUGUGUGUGGCCCUGGGGCUGAUCAGAGUUGGGUAAAGGCCUGCGCCUGUGCCCUGGCCUGGGCACCUGAAGGACAUUUUCCUCGCCUGUCUUUGCAAACCCACCUCUGCAGGGGCAGAGCACAGCGCGCUCACAGGCGCAGAGCACAGUCCCUACGGCGCGGGUGUCACAUCACAAUCCCACUGUACAUACUCCAAGGGACCAAAGAGCCACGUGCAAAACGUGCUCUACUGCGAGGUCAAUGAAAUAAAUGCUGGGGCCAGCCCAGGUCGUGAGCUGUUCGUUUGUUUCUGGGGUCAGUGUUUCACUCUGUCGUUCAAAUUGGCCAUGAACUCGAGACGAUCCUCCUGCCUCAGCCUCCUGAGUGCUGGGAUUGCAGGUCUGGGCCACCAUGCGCCACCCCAGGUUACGAU
rnacentral:lncRNA from 1 species